ACUAUUACCUUUAUUUUGCUUUUCAACAUUACUGACACCUCUAAACCCUGACCUCCUCUUCUUUAUUUCUCUCGACUUCUUUUUUUGUUACUUCCAAUCCAGCACAAACUCCAGAGUCUCAUCCUUGAUUAUAUGCUUGUGAAUAUCCUCAGCUUUUCUUCUCCAUCUUGUUCUACAAUAGCUAUUGCCCCCUGUAGUCUUUGCUGUUGAAGAGCCCUGCAGUCUUCACAGUCCCUGAGCUCAGUGUAGAGAGUAGCCUGGAAUUCAUACAGCUGUGUUAUUCCAAAGAAGAGGCCCAUGUUGUACCUGGCUUCAGGGGCCAAUAGCCACUACAUCUCCCCUUCCCUGAGGCUCUGCUGCCACUUCACUGUGUUGACACAUGGAAACACACCAUUCCUCAGCUGAGCAACUAUAGCUUCCUACUCCCUGAGAAUGUACUGCCUAGGAGGCAAUCCAUCUUUCCCAACCCAGUGACUGCAGUGCCCCAGCCCUGGCUACUCAGAGCCUAGGCCCAGAAGAACAGCCGUAACCCACUGCCCAAUCCCACAUGUUACCAUGCCUGUCAAGGCAUGUUGUGGGGAGGCUGCUCUCAAUCCAGCAGAGCAGCCCCUUAAUGACUGCCUCCAGUAGGAGGCAGCAACCUAGCCAGUGAAGAAGUCCCCUUGCAACCUUGGCAUACAGAACAGCCCAGCUUCCCCACUGUCAGAAGAAAGAUCAUGCCCAACCUAGUAGAGAAGCCACACAAAUUUCUACAGCCUAGACAACUGAGGUAAUUGCAUCCAGUUGACUACAACUGAAGAAAUUCACAGACUGCACUACUGUGCUCAACCAGAACCAAAGCAAAGUAAUCUUCCCCAACUGACACCUUGUCUGCAGGCAAAAAUAUUUACCUAUGAGAGCCACCCUAUAAAAUUGGUAUAGGAGACCAUUCCAUUAGAUGCUGAGAUAUCAACACGUUGAUGUCAGAAACCUGGAAAUCAGAAAUUAGAUGCAUCCACGCUAGAAAUCUUUGAUUUGUAGGAAUAGACCUAUGUAGUCGAAAAGGGAGGAUCUAGCAGACCCUGAACUACAUCUCAGAGACUCCGGGAGACUUCAAGUCACAGUUUAGGAGCCAGACAUCUACCUUUUUCCAGUUGCUUGAUUUUACUUAAAUUUUACUCUCCUCCUUUUACAGUAACGUAUAAGCAAGUACAAUACAAAUGAGUUGCUCAAAUUUAUAUAAUUAGCAUAGAGUGAAACCUCCUGGACCUGUACUCUCUGUCAUGAAAUUACUUUGCCUCCUUUCUCUUCCUCUCACCAACUCAAUCUCAUUACCAUAGAUGUGCGUUUGCUCUUUCUUUUGGUGUUUUGGAUGAAAGCAUAGUUGACUUUGUAGAUCUUGCAUAAUGAAGCAUUUGGUAGAAGUCCCGAAGUGGCUGGCAUUCUUGUGAGUUUGCUCCACAGCUCAGUACAGAUGGCAGCAGCGCUGAUGAAAUGAUAGCUUCAUGUACACAUUGAGCCGCAGGGACAACGUAUUCCCUUGUGUUUCUAGUACCAAAACCCACCUGGGAA
rnacentral:lncRNA from 10 species